rnacentral:rRNA from 1 species
AGCUCCAAUAGCGUAUAUUAAAGUUGUUGCAGUUAAAAAGCUCGUAGUUGGAUUUGUGGCAGUCGUGAACAUCCUUGCACUUAGUGUUAGUGUAUGUUUGCGUCGCCAUCCUUGGGUGGAACCUGUGUGGCAUUAGGUUGUCGUGCAGGGGAUGCCCAUCGUUUACUGUGAAAAAAUUAGAGUGUUCAAAGCAGGCUUAUGCCGUUGAAUAUAUUAGCAUGGAAUAAUAAGAUAGGACCUUGGUACUAUUUUGUUGGUUUGCGCACCGAGGUAAUGAUUAAUAGGGACAGUUGGGGGUAUUCGUAUUCCAUUGUCAGAGGUGAAAUUCUUGGAUUUUUGGAAGACGAACUACUGCGAAAGCAUUUACCAAGGAUGUUUUCAUUAAUCAAGAACGAAAGUA